AUUUUUUGGAGACUCGAGUUGCACAAAUAAACGACCUUUUAAAAAAUAAAAAAUAGUUUUAAUCUUUGAAAUUUCGUAAUACAAAACAUAGAUUUCGAAUUGUUUUUGUAAUUGCAUUUUUCCAUGUCGAAAUUGGUGAUUGCAGACACGUGGCAAGUGUCAGCUUGGGAUAUUCGCAUCCAAACAGUUAUCACCCUGAGGGCAAUUAACACCUGGCUAUUCAAUCUCUUAAUUGCCUUUAGUGUCUGACUUAAAGGGAUUACAAUUAAAGGUGAUUUAAUUUUUAUGAUUAUAAUCGAUAAUAGAUGAAAGUUCAAAAUUGAGGACAAGUAAAAUAGCAUCUUCAAAAUAAUUAUAGUGUCGCGGGAAUUAUUAUAGCAUCACGGUGAAAAAAUAUACCGCGACGCUAAAACGGCCUGGGGAG
rnacentral:lncRNA from 1 species